rnacentral:lncRNA from 1 species
GAAAGUGCUAGGCACGUAGGCGUUCAGGAGACAGUCACGGUACUCGUUUCCAGACAGAAGUCAUGAGGAACAAGAGGGAAGGUGCUUUCCCGUGUGCAGCGCUUGGGGAGACUCACACAGACAGAGGAUCUGGCAUGACAGGGAAAGGAGGAAAUGGCUUCUGUUAAUCUCUCCUUCAGCUUCUCCCGCCCUUCCCAUGCACUCUUCCUGUUUCCCUUUCCAGUUCUCACGGUGACUCAAGGAACAACGUGUGAAAUGAAAGACCUCAGGUGCUGUAUUGGCUCUUGACAGCUCUUCAGAAGAAAAUACCUCCUGCCUGUUCUGUUCAGUCCUGGUGCAGGUGAGUCACUGCCUUGCCAGCCAGGCAAGUAUUUUAAGAAACAAAAUCUAAGCCAGAACCAGCAGAGAAAUACGAGGGAUGGAUUAGCGCCAUUAGCUUUGAUGGUGUCUUGUUGUCAUGGUGCUAGGAAAAUCACUAUCAUUUACAGUCCCACUCACCAGCUGUUUUGCUAGAAUUUUUGACAUGAGAGGCUGGUGGCCACCCUAACACAGGCGUGGGACAUGGGUGUGCACACACACGUACACCUGCUUCCAGGAAGCCAAAUGACCCACCGGCUUACCCACAUCGCAGGAAGCUUUGGAGCAGAGUCAGUGACUAUGUGAACCUGCCUCAACCUCUGCUCCCUGGUUCAGCAUUUGGCUUGGGAAAAAUGACACUAUUUCCUGUCUCUUAAACAUUAUUUCAAGGCACAGGUCUUCCACCAUUCUGAGAGGCAGGGGGAUCUUUGAGUUCUGCCAGGAGCUGGGGGUUAGGGGUAGUGGUCCUGGACAACACUUUGAAAAAUGCUGGGGCAGAAACAAGCCAGCAAGCAUAUGGGAUUCAUCUGCUGUGAGUGAUAAUUUAUCUAGUUUCUAAAAAUAGUGUUAUAGGCUGGACUGUGUCCCCUUCCUGUGCCCCGCCGCCAUGCAUAUAUGGACGCCUAGUACCUCAGAAUGUGACUGUAUUUGGAAACAGGGCCUUUGAAGAAGUAAUUAAGUUAAAAUGAGGUCAUUAGGGUGGGCAGUAAUACAGUAUAACUGGUGUCCUUAUAAGAAGAGAUUAGGACACAGAUGCACACAGAGGGAAGACCAUAUGAACACAGAGGGAGAAGACAGCCACCUGCAAGCCACAGAGAGAGCCCUUCAAAGAAACCAACCCUGCAGACAAUUUGAUCUCAGGUUUCUGGCCUCCAGAAUUGUGAGAAAAUAAAUUUCUGUUGUUUAAGUCAC